UCGAAGUCAUAACGACUCUCGGCAACGGAUAUCUCGGCUCUCGCAUCGAUGAAGAACGUAGCGAAAUGCGAUACUUGGUGUGAAUUGCAGAAUCCCGUGAACCAUCGAGUCUUUGAACGCAAGUUGCGCCCGAAGCCUCACGGCCGAGGGCACGCCUGCCUGGGCGUCACGCA
rnacentral:rRNA from 9 species